GCCUCGGUGGUUCGAUGGUAGAGCACGCGCCUCCGGUUAGGAUGAGACGCGGGUUCGAUUCCCGCUCGAGGCC